GGAAAGGGGGCGUGGUUGCUUCUCACCAACGGACCCACAACUCAGAGGUGAAUUUCUAAUGAACUAUUGCUAUUUUGCAAAAACUGUCCUAGAAAAUGACACAUUUUUUUUUAUUUUGGCUAAAAAAUGCAUAAUCAUAAUUAAAAGAGCACUUUGAAAGCUUUGAAAAUGGAUAAAAAGAUAAUUGGAGUAGGUCUUUAAAACACAGGGAAACAUUAAAAUCAGUGUUGAUCUCUCUGUUUAUCCUUUCAGCCACUUCUUUAAUUUAUUUUAUUUUUUCUAUGAAUUUAUAUGGGGAUGUAUGCAGCAUAUCCAUGUUAAAUUGCUUAACAGAGAAGUAAUGCUUGCAGACUUUAAUGCAUAUUUGUUGAAUCAACACCAAAGCCCGAACACGACCCCCGUCCUUUUGUCAGCAUGGUCUCUCCCAGAACCUUUAAUUUGUGUGCAGACCCCUGGGGAAACAUUUGCCCAAACACCCUGGAGUGAGCGUAGGAGACGACAGGUGAGCCACCAGCCUGCUCAGCACACAUCUGCGCUCCUUCCUGCCCUGAAAGAUCAAAGUCGGUGUGAAGGUAACAGGAGCAGCAGUCUAACCAGAGACGCCCCGCAUUCCUCUGCUCAGAACUUUCUCAAGUUCUGCUAAAAGAACCCCAAGGCUCUUCCACACCAGCAUACCCUGAAUCCUGCCUCAGGAGGCUCCUGAAAGAGAUGUCCAAACCAACUACUGGCAUUCACGCGACGAGGAUGAACAGCAGCUCUACUUUGAUCUUCUCUCAGUAAUUACACUUGGAAAAGCCUCAGGAUGUGGCCCAAAGAAUCCAUUCAGUGAGAGAUGGUGCAAAUUCAGGAAAAAAUGCACCGCAGCCAACAUCUGAAGGAGCUUGAGACUGACCUGGAGCACUCUGAAAUGACUACCUUUGGCCACAGCUGCGAGCAGAUUCCUGUUGCCAGGUGGAGGAGGAGAUGGAGGGAGCCGCCGGCCAUUAGCGGUGCCGGCUAUUGGAAGUAAAAAGAGAAGAAAUGUGGGGCAGCUUUGCCACCCGUUUGAAGUAGAGACAGCUUGUUUGUGAAGUAGAGGCAGCUUUCAUGUCCUGCUCUCAUGUGACCUGAGGAGAUCUUAGCUUCAUAAACCAUAUUGACUAGAUCCCCCUCGAAAAAUAAAGAAAUAAAAAAUGAAAUACCCCGACACAAUUUAUUCCAGCACUGAUGGAGCUCGGAAGCCUGCAGCUUUAUGAAGUGAGAUGAGUGGCUGAGUGGUGGGAGUUUCAAGGCCAUCGCUUGACGUGUUUCACCAACACAAGAACAUGGAAACAAUCUUAAGUGUUGACUCAUUACCUGAGUAGUAAAUAAGCGCUUUAAGGGAAUGGUGCGACAGUUAAUUUCGGGCUGCAUAAUAACACCAAUGCUGUGACAUCUGAUCAGGAUUCCUUAAUGAUACUGUCACACUCCAUCAGCACUCACUCUGCGACGCCGUAAACGAUUGUGUGAUUAAACAUGAAUUAAACGUGAAACCAUGAAAUUGCAAGUCCUCCCACCACCUUCUCCAAAGUUAAAGCGCGGGGCUCCUUCCAGAAAUGUUUUGACACAACUGCUGAUCCAGCUCUCGCAGAUUCGGGCUUGAGAGACUUAGACGUUUUUUUGUCGUCUCUGCAUUUCUGGGGAGGGAAUUGGCAGAUUAUUUGGUCAACCUCGAUCAGUUCCACCACAGCUUAGGGGGAUACAAGCUCGCUGACUAAUAUUGCCCAAAAUCCAUCAAAGUCAAAGGGCUUGUCCUUUUUUUAAGACUCGAGUGUUCCAAUCUGGCACUUGGCGCAUCAAAGCCUUCACAAACAGAGGCCGUACCCCGCCUGCGACUGCUCUGACUGAUCCAGACCAAAAUAAAUCGUGCCGUCUGACAGCAUGAAAGUACCUACUGUAACGUCGAACGAGACGACAGUUGGCUUUAAUCUUCAAAGCACCCUUGUGACAUCACAUAGUUUCUUUUAACGGUUUUAUAUCUAAAAAUAAAAAAAAGUUAACACGCAUCUCACUUCCCUCGAGCCCUUCAGAGGUCUUGACGUCCGUUCAGUUUGCAGUUGUGGAUGUACUGAUGUGCAUCACCUGUUGGCGUUCAAAUCUAACACUUCCAUGGUCAAAUAUCAAGUGGUAACGGUGAAUACAAGAAAAGCGGCGUGAUAAUUGUGUUCCGCCAGCAGUCCAGACCUCAGAUAUCUUCUUUGCCAGGAAAAACCUCAUCAUCUGAUGGCGUGGGAACAGUGUUGAUCCUGAGCGCACGGAAGAAAAUGACACAAAAGGAUAAAAAAAAAAACUUACAAAGGAACUUUAAAAUGGUGAACAUUUUUUCAUGAAUAGGUAACCUUAAAAAAGGCAAGAGUAAAAUAAUCCAUCUAAAAU